AUGGAAAAGAUGAUGAACAGAACUUCAUUCAAAAUCUCAGUUUGUUUCUCUGCACCUUUCUUAAGGAACAUGAUCAACUUAUAGAAAAAAGAUUAAAUCUCAGGGAAACUCUUAUGGAGGCCCUUCAUUAUAUGUUGUUGGUAUCUGAAGUAGAAGAAACUGAAAUCUUUAAAAUUUGUCUUGAAUACUGGAAUCAUUUGGCUGCUGAACUGUAUAGAGAGAGUCCAUUCUCUACAUCUGCCUCUCCGUUGCUUUCUGGAAGUCAACAUUUUGAUGUUCCUCCCAGGAGACAGCUAUAUUUGCCCAUGUUAUUCAAGGUAACAGAGCGGUUGGUUGAGUGUUCUUCCUGUUGCAUACUGUGGUUUUGAGGUCUGAAUCCAAAUACUUCUAAUCUGUGUAAAUAAAUUAGCUGUAAAAAGAGAACCCAACAACUUCUCCAUGAGUGUGGAAAACUAGAACAUGAAAGGAGUUGAGUCUAGAACCUUGAUUCUCAAGAGUGUGGUCCUUCUCUCAGUAUCAACAUUGGUUGUGAUUUCGUUAGGCAAAUUCAUUGGCCACCUGCCAAUCUACUAA
rnacentral:sRNA from 1 species